GACGAACGCUGGCGGCGUGCUUAACACAUGCAAGUCGAACGGCAAGGCCCUGCUUUUGUGGGGUUCUCGAGUGGCGAACGGGUGAGUAACACGUGAGUAACCUGCCCUUGACUUUGGUAUAACUUCAGGAAACUGGGGCUAAUACCGUAUAGGAGCUCCUGCUGCAUGGUGGGGGUUGGAAAUUUUCGGCGGUUGGGGAUGGACUCGCGGCUUAUCAGCUUGUUGGUGGGGUAGUGGCUUACCAAGGCUUUGACGGGUAGCCGGCCUGAGAGGGUGACCGGCCACAUUGGGACUGAGAGACGGCCCAGACUGCUACGGGAGGCAGCAGUGGGGAAUAUUGCACAAUGGGCGGAAGCCGGAUGAAGCAACGCCGCGUGCGGGAUGACGGCCUUCGGGUUGUAAACCGCUUUCGCCUGUGACGAAGCGUGAGUGACGGUAAUGGGUAAAGAAGCACCGGCUAACUACGUG
rnacentral:rRNA from 1 species